rnacentral:rRNA from 1 species
UACAUGGGGUGCAAACGUUGCUCGGAAUUACUGGGCGUAAAGCGUGCGCAGGCGGUUGUGCAAGACAGAUGUGAAAUCCCCGGGCUUAACCUGGGAACUGCAUUUGUGACUGCACGGCUAGAGUGUGUCAGAGGGGGGUAGAAUUCCACGUGUAGCAGUGAAAUGCGUAGAUAUGUGGAGGAAUACCGAUGGCGAAGGCAGCCCCCUGGGAUAACACUGACGCUCAUGCACGAAAGCGUGGGGAGCAAACAGG